GAUGAAGAACGUAGCGAAAUGCGAUAAGUAAUGUGAAUUGCAGAAUUCAGUGAAUCAUCGAAUCUUUGAACGCACAUUGCGCCCGCCAGCAUUCUGGCGGGCAUGCCUGUUCGAGCGUCAUUUCAACCCUCAAGCUCUGCUUGGUGUUGGGGCCCUACGGUUGACGUAGGCCCUUAAAGGUAGUGGCGGACCCUCUCGGAGCCUCCUUUGCGUAGUAACUAACGUCUCGCAUUGGGAUUCGGAGGGACUCUUGCCGUAAAACCCCCAAAUUUUCUAAUGGUUGACCUUGGAUCAGGUAGGAAUACCCGCUGAACUUAAGCAUAUCAAUAAGCGGAGGA
rnacentral:misc_RNA from 1 species